rnacentral:lncRNA from 1 species
UUUUUCUUAAAAGACUUCUAAAGUCAAUGCAAGUGCACAAAACAAAAAGAUAAAUCAGCUGAAAUAUAAUUCCCCAUCAUAUCUUUAAGAAAUAAUUGACGUAUAUAUAAGUUGUUUCCACAAACUGUUUGUAUUAUACUAUACUAGAUAAAUAGACAGGAAACGAGAAACCAUGCACGUCACACGUUUAUUGACCACAUACACUGAAUAUUCUAUUUCAU